UGGUAUUAAAAUUUUUUACUC
rnacentral:piRNA from 1 species